rnacentral:rRNA from 1 species
UACGUAGGGUGCAAGCGUUAAUCGGAAUUACUGGGCGUAAAGCGUGCGCAGGCGGUGAUGUAAGACCGAUGUGAAAUCCCCGGGCUUAACCUGGGAACUGCAUUUGUGACUGCACAGCUGGAGUGCGGCAGAGGGGGAUGGAAUUCCGCGUGUAGCAGUGAAAUGCGUAGAUAUGCGGAGGAACACCGAUGGCGAAGGCAAUCCCCUGGGCCUGCACUGACGCUCAUGCACGAAAGCGUGGGGAGCAAACAGG